GAUUCAAAUCAGAAAUAAAAGAAAACCGUCAAAUUAUGAUCGUACUUUAACACCAUCAAUGCUGUACGGCUCGUACGGGUAAUGUAAGAGACAAUCUCAUGAAACCAUGUUCUCCUUCUUGCUUUAUAUGUUAAUAGAUUAUAACUACAAAUUCCUUUUGUAAAACAGCGAGAAAAAGUUUUGCCAUUGUUCAAUAUUGCUCUGUCAUCCAGGCUGGGUUUGGAAAUGACAAAAAGCUUCCCGCCAAUCUUCAAGAUAGCCUUUAAAACUAAAUUGACGUGAAUUCUGAGUCAAUAAUCGCUUGAAAAAGUCCAAGGAUGAUUAUGCAAACUAAAUCCAGGACACUGAGGUUUUUCAGUGACCAUAUACUUCAGCAUUUACGGUAAUCUGGGAGCAAGGUUAUCCCAAUUGAUGGUUCGGAGACUGUAAGUGGAGUUGGGGAUGCACUAGGUAUAAGUGGCAUUAUUCGGAGACAAUCGAGUUCUAGCUAUGCCCACCCAAGCACGAAUAUGCUUAUGCAUGAUCAGGUCAGUUAUUGGAAAGUGCUUCUGGAGUCCCCUCCCUGGAUCCCGCCUCUGUCCUCUCCUAGGACCCUACUAGACCCCGC